UUAAAAUCGUUGAUCAGGAUUAGUAACUAUAGUACUUAGUUUCAGAGAAUUGAGGAUAGUGAGAUCUCAAUACUGUAGGCUUUAGUGAAUGGACCUGUUAGAUGGAAGCCGAAAUCAUUUAGAAAGUAGUCUUUACCGUGUUUCGCACGUUAUAGCGAUAGGAUAUGUUAGUAUCUGAAAAAGAUAUGCUUAUUUAGGAUUAUUUCUAUUUAGUAUAAUUUAGGUGGUACCGCGAAUUCACUUCGCCCUAUUU
rnacentral:ncRNA from 1 species